rnacentral:rRNA from 1 species
CAGCCGCCGCGGUAAUACGGAGGGAGCUAGCGUUGUUCGGAAUUACUGGGCGUAAAGCGCACGUAGGCGGCUUUGUAAGUUAGAGGUGAAAGCCUGGAGCUCAACUCCAGAAUUGCCUUUAAGACUGCAUCGCUUGAAUCCGGGAGAGGUGAGUGGAAUUCCGAGUGUAGAGGUGAAAUUCGUAGAUAUUCGGAAGAACACCAGUGGCGAAGGCGGCUCACUGGACCGGCAUUGACGCUGAGGUGCGAAAGCGUGGGGAGCAAACAGGAUUAGAUACCCCCGUAGUCCCUGUCUCUUAUAC